rnacentral:rRNA from 1 species
UACGUAGGUCCCGAGCGUUAUCCGGAUUUAUUGGGUUUAAAGGGUGCGUAGGCGGACUGUCAAGUCAGCGGUAAAAUUGAGAGGCUCAACCUCUUCCCGCCGUUGAAACUGGUGGUCUUGAGUGGAUGAGAAGUACGCGGAAUGCGUGGUGUAGCGGUGAAAUGCAUAGAUAUCACGCAGAACUCCGAUUGCGAAGGCAGCGUACCGGCAUCCAACUGACGCUGAGGCUCGAAAGCGUGGGGAGCAAACAGG